AUUGAACGCUGGCGGCAGGCCUAACACAUGCAAGUCGAGCGGAUGAAGGGAGCUUGCUCCUGGAUUCAGCGGCGGACGGGUGAGUAAUACCUAGGAAUCUGCCUGGUAGUGGGGGAUAACGUCCGGAAACGGGCGCUAAUACCGCAUACGUCCUGCGGGAGCUGGUGGGUGGUCUUCGGGCAUCACGCUAUCAGGUGGGCGCAGGUCGGGUUAGCUAGUUGGUGGGGUUAAGGCCUACCAAGGCGACGAUCCGUAAGUGGUCUGAGUGGAUGAUCAGUCACACUGGAACUGAGACACGGUCCAUACUCCUACGAGAGGCAGCAGUGGGGAAUAGUGGACAAUGGGCGAAAGUCUGAUCCAGCCAUGCCGCGUGUGUGAAGAAGGUCUUCGGAGUGUAAAGCAGUUUAAGUGGGGAGGAAGGGCAGUAAGUUAAUACCUUGCUGUUUUGACGUUACCAACAGAAUAAGCACCGGCUAACUUCGUG
rnacentral:rRNA from 1 species